rnacentral:tRNA from 1 species
GGGGGUUUAGCUCAUCUGGUAGAGCACCUGCUUUGCAAGCAGGGGUGAACGGUUCGAGUCCGUUAACCUCCACCA